AACGCGAAGAACCUUACCCGGGUUUGAACUGUGACUGAAAAAUCCAGAGAUGGAUUCCCCUAGCAAUAGGCAGUUACAGAGGUGCUGCAUGGCUGUCGUCAGCUCGUGCCGUGAGGUGUUGGGUUAAGUCCCGCAACGAGCGCAACCCUUAUCAUUAGUUGCCAACAUUUAAGGUGGGAACUCUAAUGAGACUGCCUGGGUUAACCAGGAGGAAGGUGAGGAUGACGUCAAGUCCGCAUGGCCCUUAUGUCUGGGGCUACACACGUGCUACAAUGGUCGGUACAGAAGGCAGCGAAGCCGCGAGGUGAAGCAAAUCCAAAAAGCCGAUCUCAGUUCAGAUUGUAGUCUGCAACUCGACUACAUGAAGACGGAAUUGCUAGUAAUGGCGAGUCAGCAACAUCGCCGUGAAUACGUUCCCGGGUCUUGUACACACGC
rnacentral:rRNA from 1 species